UACAGAGGUCCCAAGCGUUGUUCGGAUUCACUGGGCGUAAAGGGUGCGUAGGUGGCCAGGUAAGUUUGAUGUGAAAGCUCGGAGCUUAACUCCGAAAUGGCAUUGAAUACUAUCUGGCUUGAGGGUCGGAGGGGAGACUGGAAUUCUCGGUGUAGCAGUGAAAUGCGUAGAUAUCGAGAGGAACACCAGUGGCGAAGGCGAGUCUCUGGACGACACCUGACACUGAGGCACGAAAGCUAGGGGAGCAAACAGG
rnacentral:rRNA from 1 species